rnacentral:rRNA from 1 species
AACGGAGGGUGCAAGCGUUGUUCGGAAUUACUGGGCGUAAAGCGCGUGCAGGUGGUUUUUUAAGUUUCGUGUGAAAUCCCAUGGCUCAACCAUGGAACGGCACGGAAAACUGGAAGGCUUGAGUACGGGAGAAGAGGGCGGAAUUCCCAGUGUAGAGGUGAAAUUCGUAGAUAUUGGGAGGAACACCGGUGGCGAAGGCGGGUCUCUGGGCAACAACUGACGCUGAGGAGCGAAAGCGUGGGGAGCGAACAGG